rnacentral:rRNA from 1 species
AACGCUAGCUACAGGCUUAACACAUGCAAGUCGAGGGGCAGCAUGGUCUUAGCUUGCUAAGGCCGAUGGCGACCGGCGCACGGGUGAGUAACACGUAUCCAACCUGCCGUCUACUCUUGGACAGCCUUCUGAAAGGAAGAUUAAUACAAGAUGGCAUCAUGAGUCCGCAUGUUCACAUGAUUAAAGGUAUUCCGGUAGACGAUGGGGAUGCGUUCCAUUAGAUAGUAGGCGGGGUAACGGCCCACCUAGUCUUCGAUGGAUAGGGGUUCUGAGAGGAAGGUCCCCCACAUUGGAACUGAGACACGGUCCAAACUCCUACGGGAGGCAGCAGUGAGGAAUAUUGGUCAAUGGGCGAGAGCCUGAACCAGCCAAGUAGCGUGAAGGAUGACUGCCCUAUGGGUUGUAAACUUCUUUUAUAAAGGAAUAAAGUCGGGUAUGGAUACCCGUUUGCAUGUACUUUAUGAAUAAGGAUCGGCUAACUCCGUGCCAGCAGCCGCGGUAAUACGGAGGAUCCGAGCGUUAUCCGGAUUUGUUGGGUUUAAAGGGAGCGUAGAUGGAUGUUUAAGUCAGUUGUGAAAGUUUGCGGCUCAACCGUAAAAUUGCAGUUGAUACUGGAUACCUUGAGUGCAGUUGAGGCAGGCGGAAUUCGUGGUGUAGCGGUGAAAUGCUUAGAUAUCACGAAGAACUCCGAUUG